AACGUCGAGAAAUCGGCGCUAAUACCUCAUAAUGCAGCGGAUCCGCAUGGAUAUGUUGUUAAAGGUUUACCGCCUUGGGAUAGGCUUGCGUCUGAUUAGCUAGUUGGUGUGGUAACGGCACACCAAGGCUACGAUCAGUAACUGGUCUGAGAGGAUGAUCAGUCACACUGGAACUGAGACACGGUCCAGACUCCUACGGGAGGCAGCAGUGAGGAAUAUUGGGCAAUGCUCGAAAGAGUGACCCAGCAACGCCGCGUGGAGGAUGAAGGUAUUCUAUAUCGUAACUCCUGUGAGAGCAGACGAAAGAACAGAUUAUUAAUCUGGAUGACUGUAUGCUCAGAGGAAGCCCCGGCUAACUACGUG
rnacentral:rRNA from 1 species